UUUUUAACACAGUAGAUAUCAAAUUAAUGCGAGUAGUUUUAUGCUGUUUGUUUUAUAGUAAGGCUGUCUAGGCGGUGGCAGUGUGUUGUGUUUAUCUUUGGUGAGGCGGUGAGGAACACAGGCCUGGUAUUCUUUGUGUAAUAUCAAAAUCUAGAAGCAAUGUCUGAAGGUGAAGAAUCUCCUGUACCCCUGAGUGGGGGUGGUGGUGGGACUGGCAAUGGGACGGGCAGUGGAGGAGGAGAGCGUCAGUGGUAUGCACCUAUGGACACUGCGGGGGGUGAGGAAGACUCUCAGCCAGCCUCCCCAGGAAGCCCUGCCCCUGCAACUAAUAUUCACACCAGCAAUGAAUAUAUGGAAUUGGAUGAGCCAGAGAUGUUGGACGAGAAGAAAGCUUUGCUGGAGGAGUUUGAAAGGAAGCGUCGUGCCAGGAUGAUCCACGUGACGACAGAUGACAGUGAGGUCAAGCAACAGCUAAGGCUGUUGGGUGAGCCUAUCUGCUUGUUUGGUGAAGGUCCUGCUGAUCGAAGGAAUCGAUUGAAGGAGUUACUGUCUCGCUUGGGGGAAGAUGCCUUGAAAAAGACAGCAGCAGGGCAGCAGGAAAGAGAGACUACAGAACAUGAUCAGCAGCAUCCAGAAGAAACCUGGUACCAUGAAGGGCCAGAGUCCCUGAAAGAAGCACGGAUGUUUCUUGUUAAUUAUUCCAUAGCCCGUGCGAGAGCCAGGCUGAAGAGUGAGCAUCUCAAUUACCAAGUUCCAGAAGCAACACGUACUGCCAAGAGACAAGAAGUUCAAAACCGAUUAAGAUCUUUUGGUCUUUUGGGAAGUCAGAAUGCUGAUUCAAGACCAAUCUCAUACUGUAACUUUAGCCCAAAUGGGAAAUUUUUGGCAACAAGCUCAUGGAGUGGACUUGUGAAGGUUUGGCAGGUACCACAGUGUGUCAUAGAACACACUCUUAGGGGUCACAACUGUUAUGUGGAUAGUGUUGUGUGGCAUCCUAGUGCAACAAUAUCCAUGGAACCAAGUGCACUAAAUCUGGUUUCAAGUGGACGUGAUGGCAGUGUUCAAUUGUGGAGUCUAAGUAGUGACGAACCUCUUGCUGAAUUUCCAGUUUUUGAAUCACGUGUCUCACGAGUUGGUUUUCAUCCAAGUGGAAGAUUUCUUGGUGCAUGUGUUCAUGACAACAGUUGGAGAUUGUGGGACUUGGAGCUGCAAGAAGAGGUUUUAUUCCAGGAAGGUCAUUCAAAACCUGUUUAUUGCAUAGCAUUUCAAAAUGAUGGGUCAUUAGCAGCAACUGGAGGCAUGGAUUCAUAUGGGCGUGUUUGGGACCUCAGGACAGGUCGAUGUAUGAUGUUUCUCUCAGGUCAUCAGAAUCCUGUGCUGGCCAUUGAUUGGUCACCUGAUGGUUACCACAUAGUGACUGGGAGUGAGGACAACACAGCUAGGAUAUGGGAUGUGAGGCAGCGGCGAUGCACAUACACCAUACCCUCACAUACUGGUAUUGUAACUGGUGUUAGAUAUGAUCGAACAGGAGGCCAAUACAUUGUUACCUGUUCCUAUGAUGGCUCAGUGCGGCUGUGGUGUCAUGGUUCCUUCCAGGCAAUGCGUGCACUUGAAGGUCACGGACAGAAGGUGAUGGGAGUUGACAUUUCGCCAGUUGAUGGCACUAUUGCCACUUGCUCCUUUGAUCGUACAUUUAAGAUUUGGGGUCCAGAUUAAAUUAUUUUAACUAAGGGAAAUAAAAGUGUGUGUGUGUGUGUGUGUGUAUAUAUAUAUAUAUAUAUAUAUAUAUAUAUAUAUAUAUAUAUAUAUAUAUAUAUAUAUAUAUAUAUAUAUAUAUAUAUAUAUAUAUAUAUAUAUACACACCAGCCAUAUAUAUUUUGUAAUAGUUGGUUGACAAUAUUUGUACUGAGAAUGAUGUUGCAUAGUUUAUUUUAUUUUAUUUAUUUAUUUAUUUUUUAUUUCAUUUUGUUUUUUUCAUGCUAGAUGUGAGUGUUGAGCUUGCAGUAUUGUACUUUAAUUUUUUACUGAUCAGUUUUUUAUAUUGUUCAGAAAAUAUAUUUGUCUUUUAUCAUUUAUAUGUGAAUGAAAAUGAUGGGUGGUGAUCUUUCAUUUCCAAAGUAAGAAACAAAAGUAAAUCACUAGAAAAUGAGAUAUGCUUUCUUAAACACAACUUUGUGUUAUCACUUUAGGAAAUUUGGAUAAUAGUUAUUAUGGUGGGUAGCCUUGUGUUACUGCAUUUGCUGGUUAUAGUAAAAGAAAUAUCUAAAUUCGAUGUAUUAUUAUCAUUAUUAUCACCAGUUAUCACCUUUAUUAUUAUCACCAAAAGAUCACUAAGGAUGGUGGAAAUUCACUUAUGGUAAGUUGUCUGUUUUGUUUGUGUGAUGUGAGAUUGCUUGCUGUCCUGCAGUGUUGGCAGCCAUUGCUACAGAUCCUUAAGUCAGGACAGGUGGCACACAUCUUGCCUCAAUGCAUAUUCCUAUUUCUGAUUUUUUUUUUCUCAGUGAGUAUUGAGAAGAGUCACGCGGCUCUGUUUCCUAUUUCUUUAGAUGAAGAGGAGUCACGCCGUUCUCUCUUAUUUCUUUAAAGUCCAACCUCCUACGAUGUUGGAGAAAAGGAUGAUUUUCGGGUGGGGAAAGCUAAAAUAGGGCUAAAUACUGCCUCUUACCAUCAUAGAAUGGAUAGAGAACUGCUUACCGGUGCCGUUACAAAAGCGAAACAAUUCCGCCUCCCACCAGUACUCCCCCACCGACACUCCACAUGUAAACACCAGUUCGCUGUGACACGUGUGCGCCUGGUUCCUCCACAGGCAGCGUGAAUGGGCAAGAACCAAGAAUCCUUUCAGUAAAUCGGACUGAGAACAAUACCACUAUCAGCACUUAUAUUGCAGUUUAAGAUUACUGGACUUCAGAAAGUAUAUGCUCAGCAGUAGAUGAUGGGUGACCAUAAGAAUUAUAAUUAAUAGAAAUAAAGGACUUUAGCUCAAGAAAAGUAAUUUUGAUUAAUCAAUGAAUCCACAAAGAAGUAAUCCAUCUAAUGGGACAGGUCCUGCCAAGAAUGGGCAAGGAAUCCACAAAAAGAAAAGAAAAAGAAAAUUCUUCCAGAUAAAUGAUAAUGCCAUGAAUUCACCCACAAAACACACUUCAGCAACCAUGGAAAACCAUGAUGUGAACCAAUCCCUUCAUCCCAGGAAGAAAA